rnacentral:rRNA from 1 species
CCUACGGGUGGCAGCAGUGGGGGAUAUUGCACAAUGGGGGGAACCCUGAUGCAGCGACGCCGCGUGGGUGAAGAAGCGCCUCGGCGCGUAAAGCCCUGUCAGCAGGGAAGAAAAUGACGGCACCUGAAGAAGAAGCCCCGGCUAACUACGUGCCAGAAGCCGCGGUAAUACGGAGGGGGCCAGCGUUAUCCGGAUUUACUGGGUGUAAAGGGGGAGCAGGCGGGGAUGCAGGCCAGGAGUGAAAGGCCGGGGCCCAACCCCGGGACUGCUCUUGGAACUGCGUGGCUGGAGUGCAGGAGGGGCAGGCGGAAUUCCUGGUGUAGCGGUGAAAUGCGUAGAUAUCAGGAGGAACACCGGUGGCGAAGGCGGCCUGCUGGACUGCAACUGACGUUGAGGCCCGAAGGCGUGGGGAGCGAACAGGAUUAGAUACCCGUGUAGUC